rnacentral:rRNA from 1 species
UAAGCGACUAAGCGUACACGGUGGAUGCCCUGGCAGUCAGAGGCGAUGAAGGACGUGCUAAUCUGCGAUAAGCGUCGGUAAGGUGAUAUGAACCGUUAUAACCGGCGAUUUCCGAAUGGGGAAACCCAGUGUGUUUCGACACACUAUCAUUAACUGAAUCCAUAGGUUAAUGAGGCGAACCGGGGGAACUGAAACAUCUAAGUACCCCGAGGAAAAGAAAUCAACCGAGAUUCCCCCAGUAGCGGCGAGCGAACGGGGAGCAGCCCAGAGCCUGAAUCAGUGUGUGUGUUAGUGGAAGCGUCUGGAAAGGCGCGCGAUACAGGGUGACAGCCCCGUACACAAAAAUGCACAUGCUGUGAGCUCGAUGAGUAGGGCGGGACACGUGGUAUCCUGUCUGAAUAUGGGGGGACCAUCCUCCAAGGCUAAAUACUCCUGACUGACCGAUAGUGAACCAGUACCGUGAGGGAAAGGCGAAAAGAACCCCGGCGAGGGGAGUGAAAAAGAACCUGAAACCGUGUACGUACAAGCAGUGGGAGCACGCUUAGGCGUGUGACUGCGUACCUUUUGUAUAAUGGGUCAGCGACUUAUAUUCUGUAGCAAGGUUAACCGAAUAGGGGAGCCGAAGGGAAACCGAGUCUUAACUGGGCGUUAAGUUGCAGGGUAUAGACCCGAAACCCGGUGAUCUAGCCAUGGGCAGGUUGAAGGUUGGGUAACACUAACUGGAGGACCGAACCGACUAAUGUUGAAAAAUUAGCGGAUGACUUGUGGCUGGGGGUGAAAGGCCAAUCAAACCGGGAGAUAGCUGGUUCUCCCCGAAAGCUAUUUAGGUAGCGCCUCGUGAAUUCAUCUCCGGGGGUAGAGCACUGUUUCGGCAAGGGGGUCAUCCCGACUUACCAACCCGAUGCAAACUGCGAAUACCGGAGAAUGUUAUCACGGGAGACACACGGCGGGUGCUAACGUCCGUCGUGAAGAGGGAAACAACCCAGACCGCCAGCUAAGGUCCCAAAGUCAUGGUUAAGUGGGAAACGAUGUGGGAAGGCCCAGACAGCCAGGAUGUUGGCUUAGAAGCAGCCAUCAUUUAAAGAAAGCGUAAUAGCUCACUGGUCGAGUCGGCCUGCGCGGAAGAUGUAACGGGGCUAAACCAUGCACCGAAGCUGCGGCAGCGACGCUGAUGCGUUGUUGGGUAGGGGAGCGUUCUGUAAGCCUGCGAAGGUGUGCUGUGAGGCAUGCUGGAGGUAUCAGAAGUGCGAAUGCUGACAUAAGUAACGAUAAAGCGGGUGAAAAGCCCGCUCGCCGGAAGACCAAGGGUUCCUGUCCAACGUUAAUCGGGGCAGGGUGAGUCGACCCCUAAGGCGAGGCCGAAAGGCGUAGUCGAUGGGAAACAGGUUAAUAUUCCUGUACUUGGUGUUACUGCGAAGGGGGGACGGAGAAGGCUAUGUUGGCCGGGCGACGGUUGUCCCGGUUUAAGCGUGUAGGCUGGUUUUCCAGGCAAAUCCGGAAAAUCAAGGCUGAGGCGUGAUGACGAGGCACUACGGUGCUGAAGCAACAAAUGCCCUGCUUCCAGGAAAAGCCUCUAAGCAUCAGGUAACAUCAAAUCGUACCCCAAACCGACACAGGUGGUCAGGUAGAGAAUACCAAGGCGCUUGAGAGAACUCGGGUGAAGGAACUAGGCAAAAUGGUGCCGUAACUUCGGGAGAAGGCACGCUGAUAUGUAGGUGAAGUCCCUCGCGGAUGGAGCUGAAAUCAGUCGAAGAUACCAGCUGGCUGCAACUGUUUAUUAAAAACACAGCACUGUGCAAACACGAAAGUGGACGUAUACGGUGUGACGCCUGCCCGGUGCCGGAAGGUUAAUUGAUGGGGUCAGCGCAAGCGAAGCUCUUGAUCGAAGCCCCGGUAAACGGCGGCCGUAACUAUAACGGUCCUAAGGUAGCGAAAUUCCUUGUCGGGUAAGUUCCGACCUGCACGAAUGGCGUAAUGAUGGCCAGGCUGUCUCCACCCGAGACUCAGUGAAAUUGAACUCGCUGUGAAGAUGCAGUGUACCCGCGGCAAGACGGAAAGACCCCGUGAACCUUUACUAUAGCUUGACACUGAACAUUGAGCCUUGAUGUGUAGGAUAGGUGGGAGGCUUAGAAGUGUGGACGCCAGUCUGCAUGGAGCCGACCUUGAAAUACCACCCUUUAAUGUUUGAUGUUCUAACGUUGACCCGUAAUCCGGGUUGCGGACAGUGUCUGGUGGGUAGUUUGACUGGGGCGGUCUCCUCCUAAAGAGUAACGGAGGAGCACGAAGGUUGGCUAAUCCUGGUCGGACAUCAGGAGGUUAGUGCAAUGGCAUAAGCCAGCUUGACUGCGAGCGUGACGGCGCGAGCAGGUGCGAAAGCAGGUCAUAGUGAUCCGGUGGUUCUGAAUGGAAGGGCCAUCGCUCAACGGAUAAAAGGUACUCCGGGGAUAACAGGCUGAUACCGCCCAAGAGUUCAUAUCGACGGCGGUGUUUGGCACCUCGAUGUCGGCUCAUCACAUCCUGGGGCUGAAGUAGGUCCCAAGGGUAUGGCUGUUCGCCAUUUAAAGUGGUACGCGAGCUGGGUUUAGAACGUCGUGAGACAGUUCGGUCCCUAUCUGCCGUGGGCGCUGGAGAACUGAGGGGGGCUGCUCCUAGUACGAGAGGACCGGAGUGGACGCAUCACUGGUGUUCGGGUUGUCAUGCCAAUGGCACUGCCCGGUAGCUAAAUGCGGAAGAGAUAAGUGCUGAAAGCAUCUAAGCACGAAACUUGCCCCGAGAUGAGUUCUCCCUGACCCUUUAAGGGUCCUGAAGGAACGUUGAAGACGACGACGUUGAUAGGCCGGGUGUGUAAGCGCAGCGAUGCGUUGAGCUAACCGGUACUAAUGAACCGUGAGGCUUAACCU